GACGAACGCUGGCGGCGUGCCUAAUACAUGCAAGUCGAACGAGAGCAACCGGUGCUUGCACUGGUCAAUCUAGUGGCGAACGGGUGAGUAACACGUGGGUAACCUGCCCAUCAGAGGGGGAUAACAUCCGGAAACGGAUGCUAAAACCGCAUAGGUCUUCGAACCGCAUGGUUUGAAGAGGAAAAGAGGCGCAAGCUUCUGCUGAUGGAUGGACCCGCGGUGCAUUAGUUAGUUGGUGAGGUAACGGCUCACCAAGGCCGUGAUGCAUAGCCGACCUGAGAGGGUGAUCGGCCACAUUGGGACUGAGACACGGCCCAAACUCCUACGGGAGGCAGCAGUAGGGAAUCUUCCGCAAUGGACGCAAGUCUGACGGAGCAACGCCGCGUGAGUGAAGAAGGUUUUCGGAUCGUAAAACUCUGUUGUUAGAGAAGAACAAGUGCUAGAGUAACUGUUAGCGCCUUGACGGUAUCUAACCAGAAAGCCACGGCUAACUACGUG
rnacentral:rRNA from 1 species